AUGGAGUUGUCCAAGUGCCGGCGCAUCGGCGUGAGCGAGGGGAGGUUGCGCUAUGCCGAGGUGAGUCCGGGCGGGCCGUUUCUGCUCAGCUCAUAUGCGCUCGACGACGGACCAGUGGUAGAGCACCAGGUGUCACUCAGGAAGAUCGCCGUCCUUGACCCUCUCCACGACAGUGUCAUUUACAUCAAGGUCGGCGAGCACGUCCUCGUCGUGGACAUGCAGAUUGGGAAGGUGAUCGGGGCCUCUCCGAUGGAAGACGAAUACUUUUCUCUCGUGCCAUGCGUGCUUCCUCUAUGGCUUGGAUCAAGACGGAUCCCCACGGCAACGGCAGGCAAGAAGGAUGGCUUGGAAUCAACAGAUGAUCUGGGUAGUUUCAUCUAG
rnacentral:rRNA from 1 species